rnacentral:rRNA from 1 species
AUGAACGCUGGCGGCGUGCCUCAUACAUGCAAGUCGAGCGAACAGACGAGGAGCUUGCUCCUCUGACGUUAGCGGCGGACGGGUGAGUAACACGUGGAUAACCUACCUAUAAGACUGGGAUAACUUCGGGAAACCGGAGCUAAUACCGGAUAAUAUAUUGAACCGCAUGGUUCAAUAGUGAAAGACGGUUUUGCUGUCACUUAUAGAUGGAUCCGCGCCGCAUUAGCUAGUUGGUAAGGUAACGGCUUACCAAGGCAACGAUGCGUAGCCGACCUGAGAGGGUGAUCGGCCACACUGGAACUGAGACACGGUCCAGACUCCUACGGGAGGCAGCAGUAGGGAAUCUUCCGCAAUGGGCGAAAGCUUGACGGAGCAACGCCGCGCGAGUGAUGAAGGUCUUCGGAUCGUAAAACUCUGUUAUUAGGGAAGAACAAAUGUGUAAGUAACUAUGCACGUCUUGACGGUACCUAAUCAGAAAGCCACGGCUAACUACGUG